rnacentral:lncRNA from 1 species
GUGUGAACACAUUGAGACUAUAACCUCUAUAUUUCAGAAAGUAGGCAACAAACCCAGCCACAGGAUCUUUCGUCAUCUUGAUCUUGGACUUCACAACUUCAGAACUAGUAAAUGAAGCUGGAUGUAUACUUUGGCUCAGUUAUCCAUCAUGAUUCAUGAGCUGAUUCCCAGGAUAAAUUUAAUAAAAGUGAUUUGUCAUCGCCAUUGAUUCAUGGCUGAAGAAGUCUUGCAAGAUCCUGGCAAGCAGGAAAAACAGGGCCAUCCCCAAAUGCCACCCACCAGGUGAAAAGUACAUUAUUUUAUAAUGAGGAGUCAGCCCAGGCAUCUUUUCAGGGCUAUCCAGCAGGCUGCAUUGGAACUGCUUCUCCUACAGAAUGAUAUUGGACAAAUAAAGAGGCUGAGGAUUCUUCUGGAGCCUCAAGGACAUUCAACAAGAGGAAGAAUUAUUCCUAGGUUUCCAAGUAAUGGGGAAAGGGGGUCUCUAAAAUAACCUCUCAAAAGGCUUGUAUAUUUCUGCCAGAACAUGAGAAGCUAGUGUGUGACUCUUGCCAAGAAAAGUUUAAAGCUUAGAAC